GACGAACGCUGGCGGCGCGCCUAACACAUGCAAGUCGAACGGAGCUGAGAGAAGCUUGCUUUUCUUAGCUUAGUGGCGAACGGGUGAGUAACGCGUGAGUAACCUGCCCUGGAGUGGGGGACAACAGUUGGAAACGACUGCUAAUACCGCAUAAGCCCACGAUCCGGCAUCGGAUUGAGGGAAAAGGAUUUAUUCGCUUCAGGAUGGACUCGCGUCCAAUUAGCUAGUUGGUGAGGUAACGGCCCACCAAGGCGACGAUUGGUAGCCGGACUGAGAGGUUGAACGGCCACAUUGGGACUGAGACACGGCCCAGACUCCUACGGGAGGCAGCAGUGGGGGAUAUUGCACAAUGGGGGAAACCCUGAUGCAGCGACGCCGCGUGGAGGAAGAAGGUUUUCGGAUUGUAAACUCCUGUCGUUAGGGACGAUAAUGACGGUACCUAACAGGAAAGCACCGGCUAACUACGUG
rnacentral:rRNA from 1 species